rnacentral:lncRNA from 1 species
AAUCACUUUUGUACUACAAAAUAUUAUUUUUAAAAAAAUUAAAAAUGAAGUUCGAAUCCUAGUUGAUCAAUAUUUCUAGUUAAGUUUAUUUCUAAAUAAAAUAAACGAAGCAAGUAGCGUGCUAUCUAUUUCUCAAAAAAAAAAAAAAUAAAUAAAUAAAACGGUUAUUAUUUUUUAUAGUACAAAAAUACGGUCACAAACGCUACUGAAAAAUUUUCCCAAAAGCUACGUUACGGUAAGGGUUACAACCAUAAUUUUAUUAGUCAUC